rnacentral:lncRNA from 1 species
CGCGGGCUCACGAGCGUUUCGAAUGUUUUCAGCUGUUUUUAUUCAAACUGUUUCUGAUCUUCAGAGCAGGAGCAGCAGCUUCGUUUCCUGAGCGGAAAACUUCUCUACGACUGAAGAGAUUAUCACUUUAUACUCACUGUUUUAUUACCUGUAUUGUAUUUUAAUUACUGUAUUAUAUUACUGUAUUAUCUGUAUUAUCUGUAUUGUUCUGUUUUGAAUUCCUUUUUGCAGGUUACCCGGACCGUUACUGCACCCGUUGUGGAGAGCGACGCCCUGCGGUCGGACAUGGACUGGCGGAAGAAGAUCUGUGGGGUCCAUCCACUCGAGGUUAGUCAUUUUCAUCUCGCAUUUUACACCAAAUUCACGAUAAGAAUACUUAGAAUAAUUAAACUAGAGCUGCAUCUUCAUUAAUUACAUGACAUAUGUGUUGUUAUUUUACCACAAGCAGCUUAUUGCUUCAUAUUGAUCGAUUUAUUUUAUGUAUUGUCUGUUAAUUAUUGUGUAAUUGUUGUAUUUAUCUGUAUUGUUCUGUUACUAAUGCAUUUUUGCAUUACCUCGCAUAGUCCAUCCACUCGAGGUUGGUAGAAUUUGGUCUCACAUUUUACACCAAAUUCAUGAUUAAUAGUACCUAAAAUUAUGUACACUAGAGCUGGAUCUGCAUUAAUUACAGGACGUAUUUGUUGUUAUUCGACAACUGAGCUUCUUAUUGCUUGAUAUUGAUCGAUUUAUUAUCUGUAUCUGUAUUUUAAUUAUCGUGUAAUUGUUGUAUUUAUCUGUAUUGUGCUGUUAUUAAUCUCUUUUUGCAGGUUUCCGGCCCCGUUGUGGAGAGCGACCCCCCACGUUCGGAUUUCGACUGCCGGAAGAAGAUUUUUGGAGUCCUUCCACUCGAGGUGGAUUCUGGUCUGGACACCAGUUCGGAGGACUCCUUCAUUCUCCAGUUCUUUCCUUGCACAGAAGGGUCUCCAGAGUCUUCUUCCCCAACAUCUGGACGGCAUGUCAACCCCCUUGUUCUUCACCCCACCGUGAUGCCUCCCAGUCCUCCACGUCCCGGGCCAGGUCAUAGAGUUACAGAGGUUGCAGAGGCAGUGCCCUCUCACCGGCUGGACUCUACUGGACCAGAGCCUGAGAGUCAGCCUGAGUCAGCUGCACAGGUAAAAGAUUGUACUUAGUCUCAUUUCAUCUCUGCCUCUACCU